rnacentral:sRNA from 1 species
UUGGCGCAGUGAUGGCUGCAUCUCACAUGGGGAUCCCACCGCUGUGCAAAGCAGCGACGACUGGAAAUUUAGCACUGGCGACCUUGUGGGGCUUGCUGUGGGUCCUCGCGGCGUCACUUUCCUGCGCAACAGCAAGCAGGU